ACCUGAGCCGAAGUCGGAUGCUUAACUGACUGAGCCACCCAGGCGCCCCAAUGAGCUCUGAAGCAGAAGUCAGUGGUUCUACUGCGAACAACACAAGUAUGUACUUGGGAAGAAAAAAUACAUGUUCAGCCCAGAAGUACAGCAUGAACGACACUUCUAAAAUGUGAGAGAAGAGAUUUUCAUGGAGACUGUCGAGGCAUCUUCUGGUGACCAAGGCAAGUAUUAAACAUUUUUUAAAAACACA